rnacentral:rRNA from 1 species
AGUGAACGCUGGCGGUAGGCCUAACACAUGCAAGUCGAACGGCAGCACAGUAAGAGCUUGCUCUUACGGGUGGCGAGUGGCGGACGGGUGAGGAAUACAUCGGAAUCUACUUUUUCGUGGGGGAUAACGUAGGGAAACUUACGCUAAUACCGCAUACGACCUACGGGUGAAAGCAGGGGAUCUUCGGACCUUGCGCGAUUGAAUGAGCCGAUGUCGGAUUAGCUAGUUGGCGGGGUAAAGGCCCACCAAGGCGACGAUCCGUAGCUGGUCUGAGAGGAUGAUCAGCCACACUGGAACUGAGACACGGUCCAGACUCCUACGGGAGGCAGCGGUGGGGAAUAUUGGACAAUGGGCGCAAGCCUGAUCCAGCCAUACCGCGUGGGUGAAGAAGGCCUUCGGGUUGUAAAGCCCUUUUGUUGGGAAAGAAAAGCAGCAGGUUAAUACCCCGCUGUCCUGACGGUACCCAAAGAAUAAGCACCGGCUAACUUCGUG